UUAGCUAUUAACUUGUCCCGCCACUGAAAUGGGACAUAUAUGCGUGGGCACUGCCCGUCAUGAUCAGGGACGCGGCAAAUCAAGCCUUCAAACAACUCAACAUCUCUGAAUUCCUUUUCCGUCGGGAAUCUGUCCUUGUCCUGCGGCCGGGUUAACGGCAUCAUCCAUUUCAUCAAUUCUGGAUUUCGCGCCAAGCGGUGCGGGUAUUCCCGUUCGUGCACUUCGUCAACGUGCUGGUGAUUGAAGUCAAUCGGAAACCCGGCGAAUGUGUACUGUUCAUCCGGUACCAUUCUCAAUAAUGCUGCCAAUGUGGAAAGUGAUUUUACCGGAGGUUUAUUGUCACCCCCACAAACUUGACUGGGAUCUAUUGCAAGACAUCGUCCACCUUUAAUUGCCGUUUCAUUUGGAUUAUUCACGCACCGUGACGGUAGCGGAAACUGUUCACUUUCCUUUCUAAUUCGUUCCUCCUGGAAGUUUUGCUGUGGCACACCACCUCCCCCACAAACUUGACUUGGACCGGAGGUUACUUCCAUUGUCGCUUCCUCCAGGAAUUCUUUGUCACGUUUGUCUGAGCCCGGCAACAAUGGCUUCGGUGCCGGCGACGGCGUCGACACAACCGUACGUACUGGAUUCUCCAGUUUUGUAGGGCGCGGCCACUCUUCUUUUGCCCGUUGUAAAUGCAUAAGGCAUAUUUCCGGUUUCGCUUUUGCAAGUAUCAGUCAACAUCAGCGCCGGUAUCGACGGCGACUGCUUAACUCCUGGCGGCAGCAAUGGGUCAAAAUGAUGUGACCGUAUGAUGUCCGCCAUAUGAUGCAUUCGGCGCGGAUACCAAUCCGGUGCAGUGGGAUGACGACGAAAUCAAGACCGAGCACAAUGUGAUCCCGAUCAAACAUGGUGCUGACCAGUAAGGCGUGUUCAAACGCUGUUCCGAACUCGUGUAUGGUGACUACCACCGACAUCGGCUCAAUUACUUGGCGCCCUUGAUACGCCGUGUGCACCACUCUUCCCUGAAUGUGAU